UACGUAGGGGGCGAGCGUUGUCCGGAUUUAUUGGGCGUAAAGAGCUCGUAGGCGGCUUGGCAAGUCGGGUGUGAAACCUCCAGGCUCAACCUGGAGACGCCACUCGAUACUGCUAUGGCUAGAGUCCGGUAGGGGACCACGGAAUUCCUGGUGUAGCGGUGAAAUGCGCAGAUAUCAGGAGGAACACCAAUGGCGAAGGCAGCUCGCUGGGACGUUACUGACGCUGAGACGCGAAAGCGUGGGGAGCAAACAGG
rnacentral:rRNA from 1 species